AUACUGCUGAGGAGUCCCACAACAGGACGAAACGGCCGUUCAGUGC
rnacentral:hammerhead_ribozyme from 1 species